rnacentral:rRNA from 1 species
UACGGGGGGGGCAAGCGUUGUUCGGAAUUACUGGGCGUAAAGGGCUCGUAGGUGGCCAACUAAGUCAGACGUGAAAUCCCUCGGCUUAACCGGGGAACUGCGUCUGAUACUGGAUGGCUUGAGUUCGGGAGAGGGAUGCGGAAUUCCAGGUGUAGCGGUGAAAUGCGUAGAUAUCUGGAGGAACACCGGUGGCGAAGGCGGCAUCCUGGACCGAUACUGACACUGAUGCGCGACAGCAUGGGGAGCAAACAGG